AUGGCUCGCCGGUCUUCCUCCUCCUCCUCGUCGGGGGCGUGGCGGUACCUCAACCCCGCCUACUACCUCAAGCGGCCCAAGCGCCUCGCGCUCCUCUUCUUCGUCUUCGUCGCCGCCACCUUCGCCUUCUGGGACCGCCAAUCGCUCGUCAGCGAGCACGAGUGCCCUUCUUGUGUGAGAGUGAAUGAAGGUAUAGUAUUCAGUCAAGAAAUUUUGGUAACGGCUCAUGUAUUUGACGUCAUCACGGAUGGCAAGUCUGAGAUUUCCCGAUUACGAAAUGAAAUAAAUCAGUUGCAUGGUCAGUUAAGGAAGGCUGGUGUUCUACUGGAAGAAAAUCCAGCAACUGAAAUUCCCAGAAAAGAUCUUGUAGAGAUUGAUCCUAUUAAUAAUGAAAGGAGGGAAAAGGUUAAGGAGGCUAUGCUCCAUGCCUGGAAUUCCUAUGUAAAGUAUGCAUGGGGAAUGGAUGAGCUUCAGCCACAAUCAAAGAAUGGUGUUAAUAGCUUUGGCGGUCUUGGGGCAACCCUUGUGGACUCUCUAGAUACACUGUAUAUAAUGGGCCUAAGAGAUGAGUUUCAGAAGGCCAGAGACUGGGUGGCAGAGUCAUUAAGCUUUGACAAGGAUUAUGACGCAAGCGUUUUUGAAACGACCAUAAGGGUUGUUGGAGGUCUCCUCAGUGCAUAUGAUAUGUCGGGUGACAAAGUAUUUCUCGAAAAGGCGAAGGAUAUUGCUGAUCGAUUGUUACCUGCCUGGGAUACAACAUCUGGUAUCCCUUAUAAUUCAAUCAACUUAGCUCAUGGCCGAGCUCAUAAUUUUGGAUGGACCAACGGUGAUAGUAUCCUUGCGGAUUCUGGAACGGAGCAACUUGAAUUUAUAGCUUUGUCCCAGAGAACCGGAGAUCCUAAGUAUCAGCUGAAGGCAGAAAAUGUCAUCCGACAGCUUCAGAAGAUAUAUCCAAGUGAUGGCUUACUUCCUAUCUACAUAAAUCCUCAGUCAGGGCAAGCAUCAUACUCAACAAUAACAUUCGGUGCUAUGGGAGAUAGCUUCUACGAGUACUUGCUCAAGGUCUGGAUUCAGGGGAAUAAAACCGAGAGCGUAAAACAUUACAGACAAAUGUGGGAGACAUCAAUGGAAGGUUUAAUAAGCUUGACCAGGCAAACUACACCCUCUAAUUACACAUAUAUCUGCGAGAAAAGUGGUGGCUCGUUGUCUCACAAGAUGGAUGAACUUGCAUGCUUCGCCCCUGGUAUGCUGGCACUUGGAGCCUCUGGUUAUGGGCCCGAAAAAGCUAAACAGAUUAUGAAUCUGGCAGAAGAGCUUGCUCGGACCUGUUAUAACUUCUACCAAACAACUCCCACAAAGCUGGCUGGAGAGAAUUAUUAUUUCCACGCUGAACAGGAUAUGAAUGUGGGCACGUCAUGGAAUAUCCUGAGACCAGAGACUGUGGAAUCACUUAUGUACCUGUGGCGCCUUACGGGGAACAAAACAUACCAAGAUUGGGGAUGGGACAUAUUCGAGGCAUUUGAGAAGAACUCCCGCAUAGCAUCUGGAUAUGUAGGACUAAGAGAUGUGAAUAGUGGUGAAAAGGACGACAAGAUGCAGACCUUCUUCCUAGCAGAGACGCUGAAGUACCUCUAUCUGCUGUUCUCCCCUCCGUCAGUCGUAUCUUUCGACGAGUGGGUCUUCAACACUGAAGCUCACCCUUUGAGAAUCGUUCCGACACAUGGUAGCAACGGCCAGUCAAUUGAAACUGCAAAGCCAGUGGUCCGACCGUUCGGUAGGAAGCAAGGGAAACAGGGGUAG
rnacentral:rRNA from 1 species